AUGNGUAGCGGUAAAAUGCGUAGAUAUAUGGAGGAACACCAGUGGCGAAGGCGGCUCACUGGCCUGUAACUGACGCUGAGGGCUCGAAAGCGUGGGGAGCAAAUAGGAUUAGAUACCCUAGUAGUCCACGCCGUAAACGAUGGAUACUAAGUGUUGGAGUAGAACUUCAGUGCUGUAGUUAACGCAAUAAGUAUCCCGCCUGGGGAGUAUGCGCGCAAGCGUAAAACUCAAAGGAAUUGACGGGGACCCGCACAAGCGGUGGAGUAUGUGGUUUAAUUCGAUGCAACGCGAAGAACCUUACCUGGUCUUGACAUAUAUUUAAAAAGCUUAGAGAUAAGUAAUAGUUAUAGAUAUACAGGUGGUGCAUGGUUGUCGUCAGCUCGUGUCGUGAGAUGUUGGGUUAAGUCCCGCAACGAGCGCAACCCCUAUCUUUAGUUACCAUCAUUAAGUUGGGGACUCUAGAGAGACUGCCGGUGAUAAACCGGAGGAAGGUGGGGAUGACGUCAAAUCAUCAUGCCCCUUAUGAUCAGGGCUACACACGUACUACAAUGGCGUAUACAAAGGGAUGCAAAACAGCAAUGUCUAGCGAACCCCAUAAAGUACGUCUCAGUUCGGAUUGGAGUCUGCAACUCGACUCCAUGAAGUAGGAAUCGCUAGUAAUCGUGGAUCAGAAUGCCACGGUGAAUACGUUCUCGGGUCUUGUACACACCGCCCGUCAAACCAUGAGAGUUGGUAAUACCCGAAACCGGUGGCCUAACCAGAUUUAUCUGGAGGGAGCCGUCUAAGGUAGGACUGAUGAUUGGGGUUAAGUCGUAACCAAGGUAACCGAAAGGGGCGAAUCGUAACNCG
rnacentral:rRNA from 1 species